GUCGUGCGAGAAAGUAUCUUCGGUUAUGAGUAGAGCGGCGGACGGGUGAGUAACGCGUAGGAAUCUACCUAGUAGAAGGGGAUAGCCCGAGGAAACUCGGAUUAAUACCGUAUACCUCCUUAGGGAGAAAGAGGGCCUCUCUUGAUGCUCUCGCUACUAGAUGAGCCUGCGUAAGAUUAGCUUGUUGGUGAGGUAAUGGCUCACCAAGGCUACGAUCUUUAGCUGGUCUGAGAGGACGAUCAGCCACAUUGGGACUGAGACACGGCCCAGACUCCUACGGGAGGCAGCAGUGGGGAAUAUUGGACAAUGGGCGCAAGCCUGAUCCAGCCAUACCGCGUGUGUGAAGAAGGCCUUCGGGUUGUAAAGCACUUUAAGCAGGGAAAAAAAGUUAUAAGUUAAUACCUUAUAGCCGUGAUAUUACCUGCAGAAUAAGCACCGGCUAAUUCAGUGCCAGCAGCCGCGGUAAUACUGAAGGUGCAAGCGUUAAUCGGAAUUACUGGGCGUAAAGCGCGCGUAGGUGGUUUGUUAAGUUGGAUGUGAAAGCCCUGGGCUCAACCUAGGAACUGCAUCCAAAACUAACUCACUAGAGUACGAUAGAGGGAGGUAGAAUUCAUAGUGUAGCGGUGGAAUGCGUAGAUAUUAUGAAGAAUACCAGUGGCGAAGGCGGCCUCCUGGAUCUGUACUGACACUGAGGUGCGAAAGCGUGGGUAGCGAACAGGAUUAGAUACCCUGGUAGUCCACGCCGUAAACGAUGACAACUAGCUGUUGGAAGACAAUGUUUUUCAGUGGCGCAGCUAACGUUUUAAGUUGUCCGCCUGGGGAGUACGGCCGC
rnacentral:rRNA from 1 species